CAGGCCACCUCAUGGCCCCCUUGAUAGUACUCCUAUUUGCUCUACAUCUCCAGAAUUUCUUAUUACGGUGGCAGAGCACCCUAGUUUACCGUAUGAUUGGACCUACCAGGAAGAACUGAACGUUGUUCACUCCUGGGCUCUGUCACACAAUCACAACCGGUGAUCUAAAUCUUGACAGACUAAAGCUUAAUACGAGAGGGUGGAAGAUCCUGAACGACCUGGAGACGUCUACCAGUUGGAAUGCUUAAUAAAGGAACUCACGAGAAAGGAAGCUCUGCUUGAUGUUGUACUUACAAACAAGCCAGAGAUGUUUGACAAGGCAGGUGUAAUCGUGCUUGGAUCACCAGAUGACCUACGCGUUUUUAAAAUCACGCUAAGCACCAUCCAGCAAAGAUGAUAUCCUUUAGGAGCUCCAAGAACCUCGACCGAGACUCCCUGAGAGCCGACCUUCAAGAAAAGAUGGACGCCUAGAGCAAGACGCGCCAAGCAGUGAAGAAUACUAUAAGCGCUGGCAAAGUGCGAUGGUAUGAAUCAUAGACAAGCACAUGCCAAUUAAGAAAAUGCAAGUAAGGGAAAAAGACGCCCCUUUCAUGACCAGAGAAUGGAAGAAGGCCA